rnacentral:rRNA from 1 species
CACAAGCGGUGGAGCAUGUGGUUUAAUUCGACGCAACGCGAAGAACCUUACCAGGGUUUGACAUGCUAGUGGUAGGGAUCCGAAAGGUGACCGACCCUCGGGGAGCUAGCACAGGUGCUGCAUGGCUGUCGUCAGCUCGUGUCGUGAGAUGUUCGGUUAAGUCCGCUAACGAGCGCAACCCUUGCUGUGUGUUACAUGUGUCACACGGGACUGCCGGUCUUAAACCGGAGGAAGGUGGGGAUGACGUCAAGUCAGCAUGGCCUUUAUGUCCUGGGCUACACACACGCUACAAUGGCCGGUACAAUAGGUUGCGAAGCCGCGAGGCGGAGCCAAUCCUCAAAGCCGGCCUCAGUUCAGAUUGCAGGCUGCAACCCGCCUGCAUGAAGAUGGAGUUGCUAGUAACCGCAGGUCAGCUAUACUGCGGUGAAUACGUUCCCGGGGCUU